rnacentral:rRNA from 1 species
GAUGAACGCUAGCGACAGGCUUAACACAUGCAAGUCGAGGGGCAGCACAGGUAGCAAUACCGGGUGGCGACCGGCGCACGGGUGAGUAACGCGUAUGCAACUUACCUAUCAGAGGGGGAUAACCCGGCGAAAGUCGGACUAAUACCGCAUGAAGCAGGGGUCCCGCAUGGGGAUAUUUGCUAAAGAUUCAUCGCUGAUAGAUAGGCAUGCGUUCCAUUAGGCAGUUGGCGGGGUAACGGCCCACCAAACCGACGAUGGAUAGGGGUUCUGAGAGGAAGGUCCCCCACAUUGGUACUGAGACACGGUCCAAACUCCUACGGGAGGCAGCAGUGAGGAAUAUUGGUCAAUGGCCGAGAGGCUGAACCAGCCAAGUCGCGUGAGGGAGGAAGGUUCUAUGGAUCGUAAACCUCUUUUAUAAGGGAAUAAAGUGCGGGACGUGUCCCGUUUUGUAUGUACCUUAUGAAUAAGGAUCGGCUAACUCCGUG